GACGAACGCUGGCGGCGUGCUUAACACAUGCAAGUCGAACGGAAAGGCCCUGCUUUUGUGGGGUGCUCGAGUGGCGAACGGGUGAGUAACACGUGAGUAACCUGCCCUUGACUUUGUGAUAACUUCAGGAAACUGGGGCUAAUACCGGAUAGGAGCUCCUGCUGCAUGGUGGGGGUUGGAAAGUUUCGGCGGUUGGGGAUGGACUCGCGGCUUAUCAGCUUGUUGGUGGGGUAGUGGCUUACCAAGGCUUUGACGGGUAGCCGGCCUGAGAGGGUGACCGGCCACAUUGGGACUGAGAUACGGCACAGACUCCUACGGGAGGCAGCAGUGGGGAAUAUUGCAAAAUGGGCUGAAGCCUGAUGCAGUAACGCCGCGUGCUGGAUGACGGCCUUCGGGUUGUAAACCGAUUUUGCCUGUGAUGAAGCGUGAGUGACGGUAAUGGGUAAAGAAGCCCCGGCUAACUACGUG
rnacentral:rRNA from 1 species